ACGAGAGAUUGCUAGCUUGCUAAUAAUUCUCUAGUGGCGCACGGGUGAGUAACACGUGAGUAACCUGCCCCCGAGAGCGGGAUAGCCCUGGGAAACUGGGAUUAAUACCGCAUAGUAUCGAAAGAUUAAAGCAGCAAUGCGCUUGGGGAUGGGCUCGCGGCCUAUUAGUUAGUUGGUGAGGUAACGGCUCACCAAGGCGAUGGCGGGUAGCCGGUCUGAGAGGAUGUCCGGCCACACUGGAACUGAGACACGGUCCAGACACCUACGGGUGGCAGCAGUCGAGAAUCAUUCACAAUGGGGGAAACCCUGAUGGUGCGACGCCGCGUGGGGGAAUGAAGGUCUUCGGAUUGUAAACCCCUGUCAUGUGGGAGCAAAUUAAAAAGAUAGUACCACAAGAGGAAGAGACGGCUAACUCUGUGCCAGCAGCCGCGGUAAUACAGAGGUCUCAAGCGUUGUUCGGAAUCACUGGGCGUAAAGCGUGCGUAGGCUGUUUCGUAAGUCGUGUGUGAAAGGCGCGGGCUCAACCCGCGGACGGCACAUGAUACUGCGAGACUAGAGUAAUGGAGGGGGAACCGGAAUUCUCGGUGUAGCAGUGAAAUGCGUAGAUAUCGAGAGGAACACUCGUGGCGAAGGCGGGUUUCUGGACAUUAACUGACGCUGAGGCACGAAGGCCAGGGGAGCGAAAGGGAUUAGAUACCCCUGUAGUCCUGGCAGUAAACGGUGCACGCUUGGUGUGCGGGGAAUCGACCCCCUGCGUGCCGGAGCUAACGCGUUAAGCGUGCCGCCUGGGGAGUACGGUCGCAAGAUUAAAACUCAAAGAAAUUGACGGGGACCCGCACAAGCGGUGGAGUAUGUGGCUUAAUUCGAUGCAACGCGAAGAACCUUACCUGGGCUUGA
rnacentral:rRNA from 1 species